rnacentral:sRNA from 2 species
CCCGAGAAAACUUUCCAGCCCUGCCGUCCUUUCUUCUCUGCGAAUGAAAACCCUUCCAAACGUUCCGCAUCGGCAAACAAUAGUCUAGUAUCUUCGUCCGGAUUCUGAUCGAGUUUACGGGAGUGGGCGGCUUUCGUCGUUGUUGUUGCGAGUCAGUAGUUCGGUGGAGUCGCCCGUAUGGAUAACUACGAUACCCAGUACAGAACACAAUCUGUGACUCGUCGCAGGGUUGGUUUGAUCAUGAUAUUCCCUAGCACUGACUCCAGAAGAGCAUAGACCGAUAGACAACAAAUAAACUUCGGCCGAAUCAAUGCAGAAAUGCAAUGGAACGAUGUUCUAGCGAAUUUAGAACAGGAUUGGGGGGGCCAACCUCGGUACUAUUCUCCCUCCGUAGUAAGUACCGUCGUCCAUCAUGAAGGAUAUACAUACCUGUCUGUUUGCCUGGAAUAUCGGGAGAUAAUACUUCCUUCCUCCCUGCCUAUCCUUUUACAGUUAAGGUCGGGGAUCUUGAGAGGAUCUGUGGGAUCGCUUCUGGGUUGUGUCAACAUGUGUUAUUUAUUGAUAGUACAGCGUAAGCUCAUAGUAAAAAAAAAUACUGCUAGUACUCAAAGCCUAAGAUCUUCUCCAUAUCUUCUUUUUUUUCCCCUUUUGAACAUAACUGCGCACCGAAUUUCCUUGACUGUUCAAAGAAAGGAAAGGAAAGAAAGAAAGAAAGAGAAG